UCUGGGGUAUCUGAGGGGUCCCUGGGCAGGUGAGGAGGGGUCUCUGGGGUAUCUGAGGGGUCCCUGGGCAGGUGAGGAGGGGUCUCUGGGGUAUCUGAGGGGUCCCUGGGGCAGCUGAGGGGUCCCUGGGCAGGUGGCAGGGGCACAGCCGGGUGCUGGGGGUCCCCUGGGUCCCCUGACCUGGAGCCCCCUCCCCAAAUUGCCAGGGAAGGAGUACGCCAAGGCCGACAGCCGCUACAUGACGAGCGAUGACUUCACGGUUGCCAUGGAGACGGUGACAGCCUGGGCCUGGGGUCCCCUGAGCUUCCUCACCUUCCUCGCCCUCCUGCGGCAGCACCCGGCGCGCUACAUCCUGCAGCUCGUGGUGUCCCUGGGCCAGCUGUACGGUGACGUGCUGUACUUCACCCAGCCUGUCCCUGUCCCUGUCCCUGUCCCUGUCA